rnacentral:lncRNA from 1 species
GACAGUAUCUCUACCGCUACCCCUAACUCUACCGCUACCCCUAUCUCUACCGCUAUCUCUACCACUACCCCUAUCUCUACCACUACCCCUAACUCUACCACUACCCCUAUCUCUACCGCUAUCUCUACCACUACCCCUAUCUCUACCACUACCCCUAUCUCUACUCCUAUCUCUACCACUACCCCUAUCUCUACUACUACCCCUAUCUCUACCACUACCACUACCUCUACCACUACCCCUAUCUCUACCACUACCCCUAUCUCUACCACUACCCCUAACUCUACCACUACCCCUAUCUCUACCGCUAUCUCUACCACUACCCCUAUCUCUACCACUACCCCUAUCUCUAACACUACCCCUAUCUCUACUCCUAACUCUACCACUACCCCUAUCUCUACCACUACCCCUAUCUCUAUCCCUAGCUCUACCCCUAUCUCUAUCCCUAACUCUACCACUACCACUAUCUCUACCACUACCCCUAUCUCUACCCCUAUCUCUACCACUACCCCUAUCUCUACCCCUAACUCUACCACUACCCCUAUCUCUAUCCCUAUCUCUACCCCUAACUCUACCACUACCCCUAUCUCUACCCCUAACUCUACCACUACCCCUAUCUCUAUCCCUAUCUCUACCACUACCCCUAUCUCUAUCCCUAUCUCUACCCCUAACUCUACCACUACCCCUAUCUCUACCCCUAACUCUACCACUACCCCUAUCUCUAUCCCUAUCUCUACCCCUACCCCUAACUCUACCACUACCCCUAUCUCUAUCCCUACCCCUAACACUACCACUACCCCUAUCUCUAUCCCUAUCUCAACCCCUAUCUCUACCCCUAACUCUACCACUACCCCUAUCUCUAUCCCUAUCUCUACCCCUAUCCCUAUCUCUACCACUAACUUUACCCCUAAUCCUACCCCUAAUCCUACCCCUAACUCUAUUCCCUACCCCAUCUCCCCCACUCUACCCAGUCCCGUAUACCCCUCCCUUACCUUCACCCCCGUCCCCAAGCCCCGGACGGUGCAGUUGGUCAUGAGGAACGGGAGUGGUCAGGACCUAUGUGGAGUCAGAGAGGUUAAGAAGACAGACCGGCUGGAGCUAACAGGACCACAAAGAGACUGUCUGAAUGGAACUGGACUGUGGCUAGACUGUGAGACUGCACUACGACCCCAGAGUGACUGUGAGACCGCACUACGACCCCAGAGUGACUGUGAGACCGCACUGCGAACACAGAGUGGCUGUGAGACUGCACUACGACCCCAGAGUGGCUGUGAGACCGCACUACGACCCCAGAGUGACUGUGAGACCGUACUGCGAACACAGAGUGGCUGUGAGACUGCACUACAACCCCAGAGUGGCUGUGAGACUGCACUGCGAACACAGAGUGACUGUGAGACUGCAGUAGUACCCCAGAGUGGCUGUGAGACUGCACUACGACCCCAGAGUGACUGUGAGACCACACUACGACCACAUAGUGGCUGUGAGACCGCACUGCGAACACAGAGUGACUGUGAGACCUCACUACGACCACAGAGUUACUGUGAGACCACACUACGACCCCAGAGUUACUGUGAGACUGCAGUACGACCCCAGUGUGACUCUGAGAACGCACUACGAUCACAGAGUGGCUGUGAGACUGCAGUACGACCCCAGAGUGACUGUGAGACCGCACUGCGAACACAGAGUGGCUGUGAGACUGCAGUGCAACCCCAGAGUGACUGCGAGACCGCAGUACAACCCCAGAGUGACUGCGAGACCGCGGUGCAACCCCAGAGUGACUGCGAGACCGCAGUACAACCCCAGAGUGACUGGGAGACUGUAGUACAACCCCAGAAUGACUGCAAGACCGUAGUGUAA